rnacentral:rRNA from 1 species
UUAAAUUGAAGAGUUUGAUCAUGGCUCAGAUUGAACGCUGGCGGCAGGCCUAACACAUGCAAGUCGAACGGUAACAGRAAGCAGCUUGCUGCUUUGCUGACGAGUGGCGGACGGGUGAGUAAUGUCUGGGAAACUGCCYGAUGGAGGGGGAUAACUACUGGAAACGGUAGCUAAUACCGCAUAACGUCGCAAGACCAAAGAGGGGGACCUUCGGGCCU